GCAGACGACUGGGUUGAUAGGCCCGACAUGUACGCACAGCAAUGUGUUCAGUGGACGGGUACUAACCCGCCGAACGGC
rnacentral:rRNA from 1 species